UACGUAGGUGGCUAGCGUUGUCCGGAUUUACUGGGCGUAAAGAGCGCGCAGGCGGUCGUUCAAGUCGAGUGUGAAAGCCCCCGGCUCAACUGGGGAGGGUCACGCGAUACUGAUCGACUCGAAGGCAGGAGAGGGUAGUGGAAUUCCCGGUGUAGUGGUGAAAUGCGUAGAUAUCGGGAGGAACACCAGUGGCGAAGGCGACUACCUGGCCUGUUCUUGACGCUGAGGCGCGAAAGCUAGGGGAGCAAACGGG
rnacentral:rRNA from 1 species